rnacentral:rRNA from 1 species
UACGAAGGGGGCUAGCGUUGCUCGGAAUCACUGGGCGUAAAGGGUGCGUAGGCGGGUCUUUUAAGUCAGGGGUGAAAUCCUGGAGCUCAACUCCAGAACUGCCUUUGAUACUGAAGAUCUUGAGUUCGGGAGAGGUGAGUGGAACUGCGAGUGUAGAGGUGAAAUUCGUAGAUAUUCGCAAGAACACCAGUGGCGAAGGCGGCUCACUGGCCCGAUACUGACGCUGAGGCACGGAAAGCGUGGG